rnacentral:miRNA from 1 species
UCAUCUGGGGCUGUCUCCUUAG